rnacentral:rRNA from 1 species
AUUGAACGCUGGCGGCAUGCCUAACACAUGCAAGUCGAACGAGUAGCGGACGGGUGAGCAAUUUCUGGGAACCUGCCUGACCUACGGGGAUAACUACUGGAAACAUUAGCUAAAACCGCAUACAACCGGAUGUGCCCAGGUGGGAUUAGCUAGUAGGUGGGGUAACGGCUCACAUAGGCGACGAUCCCUAGCUCGUUUGAGAGGCUGACCGGCCACACUGGAACUGAGACACGGUCCAGACUCCUACGGGAGGCAGCAGUGGGGAAUAUUGGACAAUGGACGCAAGCCUGAUGCAGCCAUGCCGCGUGUAUGAAGAAGGCCUUCGGGUUGUAAAGUACUUUCAGCGAGGAGGCGUUACUCGCAGAAGAAGCACCGGCUAACUCCGUGCCAGCAGCCGCGGUAAUUC